AGGAUGAUCUCAGAGCUGAGCAGCUUGAUAGAUCAGCCAGUUGUGGACUUCCAGAACGUGGGUUCUUUCGUUCAUCAGCUGAAAGGGAGCAGCUCAAGGUAAUUGUCUCCAAUCUGAAUGGAUUCAGUUGUUGAUACUUAUGGAAUACCAUAUAGAAUUUAGAGGUUUUUUCCUUCUCCUUUUUUUCUUCGACUU